rnacentral:lncRNA from 12 species
GGAUACCCUGAGGGGCUCAAGGGAUGCCUCAAGGGUUUGAGCUGGGAAUGCCACGUCUCCCCUAAGUCCAUUGUUCCUGUUGAUUGGUUUGCUGAGGGCAGAGAACUUGAGCAAAGUGUUUAAAGGAAGAGGAUGUGAGAGGACAGCAGAGAGCUGAUUGUGGUCCAGAAGAACUGUCAGGAAAACUGGGUGAAAGAGAAAAACUGCCAAUGAAGCCAAAAGCAGGAAAUAUGCCUGAGACUACACAGAAAAUCUUUAGAUUUUCUCAUGCUUUGAUCUGUGAAGAUGAUGACUUUUCCAGUGAGGCUGUUGGGCUCUCCCUG